rnacentral:lncRNA from 1 species
CUACGGGCCUGCCAAUUACACAAAGAACAAAAGGCUUUGAUGCUGGACCCACCUGCUCAUCUGUGCAGGUGCAGCCUGAGUUUUCAGGCUGCUCUAUGUUUGCCUGUAGCUGUAAUUUUUCAGGCAGACUGUUUCUCUGAGGACCAGCCUUAACUGUUUGCUUAAUUGAUUUUUCCUUUCUUCUCCCUCAUUCCAUGCCCCUUCAGGGGUGGAGACCCUAACUGCUGUUAGGAAGAUUGGUUGUUGAUCUUUCUGGCUACUUCCUACCGGAGAGGGGCAUUGUGUGGAGAACAGCAGAUUUGCAUCAAAGAUUAUGAGCAACAUGGAUCUGUAAUGUUCUUUCUUAAAAAGUUAUUCACUCAGGGUGAUCAGAUGUCUAUUCAAAACAGCCAACAAUGAGCUAAAGGAGUGCUGUUCCAGCCAGAAUCCUACUGCUACCACAAGUGAUGAAAGCACAAGAAAUCCUCCACAAAG